AGUGAACGCUGGCGGUAGGCCUAACACAUGCAAGUCGAACGGCCGCACAGUGAGCGCUUGCUCUUACGGGUGGCGAGUGGCGGACGGGUAACGCGUAGAUCGGCAUCUACUUUUUCUUGGGUGAUAUCGUGGGGCAACUUACGCUACUACCGCAUACGUCCUACGGGUGAAAGCAAUAGUUCUUCACGCCUUUCGCGAUUCAAUGAGCCGGAGUCGCAUUAGCUAGUUUGCGGGGUAAAGGCCCACCAAGGCAACGAUGCGUAGCUGGGCUGAGAGGAUGAUCAGCCACACUGGAACUGAGACACGGUCCAGACUCCUACGGGAGGCAGCAGUGGGGAAUCUUCGACAAUGGGCGAAAGCCUGACGCAGCAACGCCGCGUGAGUGAAGAAGGUCUUCGGGUUGUAAAGCUCUGUUGUUAGGAAAGAAAAGAAGCAGGUUAAACCCCGGACGUCCUGACGGUACCUAAAGAAUAAGCAACGGCUAACUACGUG
rnacentral:rRNA from 1 species